GUGAUAAUCGUACAAUGGUUAGUACACAAGUUUGUGACACUUGGAAUAUGAGUUCAAUUCUCAUUUAUCACCCCA
rnacentral:tRNA from 1 species